GGGGAGUGACGUCAAGUCAGCAUGGCCUCCUUAUGCCCAGGGCUACACACACGCUACAAUGGUCGGUACAAUGGGAUGCCAAGCCGUGAGGCGGAGCAAAUCCUCAAAGCCGGCCUCAGUUCGAAUUGGAGGCUGCAACUCGCCUCCAUGAAGUCGGAGUUGCUAGUAACCGCAGGUCAGCUAUACUGCGGUGAAUACGUUCCCGGGGCUU
rnacentral:rRNA from 1 species